UCGUGAACCAGAGGCAUCUCUACACCGCAUAGGAACCUAAGACAUUUCUGCAGCCGGAACAGCACGGCAAAGCAUCUGAUCUGCAUGCUGCGACAAGGUAUGGCUGGGCCUGGUGAUGAAGUGUAAGCAGAACAUGCUAUGCUGCGAAUUGGUGCCAAUCUUCACAUCCGAGUUGUUCCCACGACAGUCAAGCACCACUGUGAUUUGCUUCAUUGGCAAGGUGCCCUGCAAGCUCUCACCAAAGCAACACAUUCCACUGGUUUUCUGUCAGAGUACCAUUAUAGAAUUUUGAAUAAACUAUGCUUGUCAGAUGUGCGACAUGCCCCGUC